rnacentral:rRNA from 1 species
AGAGUUUGAUCAUGGCUCAGGACGAACGCUGGCGGCGUGCCUAAUACAUGCAAGUCGAGCGGGUGCAGCAAUGCAUCAGCGGCGGACGGGUGAGUAACGCGUGGGCAAUCUGCCCUCUAGCCUGGGAUAACAGUUCGAAAGGACUGCUAACACCGGAUAUGCUCACUAGGGAGACAUCUCCCGGUGAGGAAAGUUUACACUAGAGGAUGAGCCCGCGUCCCAUUAGCUAGUUGGUGAGGUAACGGCCCACCAAGGCGACGAUGGGUAGCCGACCUGAGAGGGUGAUCGGCCACACUGGGACUGAGACACGGCCCAGACUCCUACGGGAGGCAGCAGUAGGGAAUUUUCCGCAAUGGGCGCAAGCCUGACGGAGCAACGCCGCGUGAGGGAUGAAGGUUUUCGGAUCGUAAACCUCUGUCUUCAGGGACGAUAAUGACGGUACCUGAGGGGGAAGCCACGGCUAACUACGUGCCAGCAGCCGCGGUAAUACGUAGGUGGCGAGCGUUGUCCGGAAUUACUGGGCGUAAAGGGCGUGUAGGCGGCCUUUUAAGUUAGAUGUGAAAUCUCAGGGCUUAACCCUGAAACUGCAUUUAAAACUGGAGGGCUUGAGGAUCGGAGAGGGCAGUGGAAUUCCCAGUGUAGCGGUGAAAUGCGUAGAUAUUGGGAGGAACACCAGUGGCGAAGGCGACUGCCUGGACGACACCUGACGCUGAGGCGCGAAAGCUAGGGGAGCGAACGGGAUUAGAUACCCCGGUAGUCCUAGCCGUAAACGAUGGGUACUAGGUGUGGGAGGUAUCGACCCCUUCCGUGCCGCAGUUAACACAAUAAGUACCCCGCCUGGGGAGUACGGCCGCAAGGUUGAAACUCAAAUGAAUUGACGG